rnacentral:sRNA from 1 species
AGAUCUGUUGGAUGGGCACAAUGUUCAUCAAUCGCAUGCCUGCCUGGACCUGUUGUCCGAUAUCGACAGAGCGCUGUGUGACGAUGCCGUCGACAGGUGCACGCAAUACCGUUCGAUCAAGAUUGACGCGUGCCUGGUCCGCAUGCGCCUUAGCAGUCACCACGAUCGGAU